rnacentral:SRP_RNA from 1 species
GCUGGGCGUGGUGGUGCACGCCUGUAAUCCCAGCACUUGGGAGGCUGAGGCAGGAGGAUCACUGUGAGUUCGAGACCAGCCUGGGCUACACAGUGAGUUUCCAGCUCAGUCUCAACUACAUAGUGAGAUCCUGUCUCAA